rnacentral:rRNA from 1 species
GAGUUUGAUCUUGGCUCAGAUUGAACGCUGGCGGCAUGCUUUACACAUGCAAGUCGAACGGCAGCACGGGGUUUACCCUGGUGGCGAGUGGCGAACGGGUGAGGAAUACAUCGGAACGUGUCUAUAAGUGGGGGAUAACGCAUCGAAAGAUGUGCUAAUACCGCAUAAUCUCUCAGGAGAAAAGCAGGGGGAUCGCAAGACCUUGCGCUUUAGGAGCGGCCGAUGCCUGAUUAGCUUGUUGGUAAGGUAAAAGCUUACCAAGGCUUCGAUCAGUAGCUGGUCUGAGAGGACGACCAGCCACACUGGGACUGAGACACGGCCCAGACUCCUACGGGAGGCAGCAGUGGGGGAAUUUUGGACAAUGGGGGAAACCCUGACUCCAGCCAUGCCGCGUGAGUGAAG